UAAUAUAAUAAUAUUAGGAAUAAUUCGUUUGAUCUCUCCCCCUUUGCAGUUUUACAAAAGGGGGAAGUGGAUCCCAAGAACUUGAGUCAUGCCCAAGGUCCCAUGAGGAGUGAGUGAUAGAGCUGAGCUUUGCACCUACAGCCUUGAACCCAGGAUCCUUCCACACCAGACCUUCUCUUCUUGGCUCUCCCAUAAUAAAACCUCCCAAUGUGAGGGACCCAUCUUCUCCUUUUGCACGUAAAAUCCACGGGCUCAUAGCUGGUCUUCACACUACUUGGUUUCUCUUUUCUGGUAGCUCUGUGGUACAUGGAUGGGGCUCUCUGGGUUGAGAUGAAGCCAUCAUCCUUCAAUCAAGGCAUUGAGUCAGAUACCUAAAAGAUGGCAGCAAAACUGGCAAAUGGGGUAGGAGAGCAGGUAGCCGUGGCUGCAGCAAGCUUGUCUUCUGGGAACUACUCUGUCUCCCCCCCCCCCCCCCCUAUGCUGCAGGAAGGCCAGGGGAUUCCUGCCUCCCAGGGCGUUACUGUCGCGCAGCUCAAAGUGGGUUCUGAGGGCACUGGACUGAGGCCCACUGUUCCCGGGAGAGGGAAAGGAGAAACGGAUGAGCCUCUUCCCAGGGGCCAGCAGCUUCGUGGGGGCGCCUCCUCUUCCCGUCCUGGGAGCCUGCUGUGUGAACGCAGCUGCACUCCAGGGAAAGGGCUGUUUUCCAUCUUUGGUGUCCACCUGCCCCGGGUUCUUACCUGUGGCACCAAGAAGUUGCAGCAUACGUAG
rnacentral:lncRNA from 1 species